rnacentral:rRNA from 1 species
ACAUGGGGGGAAUCNUUGAAACANGGGGCAACNUGGGGCUUACGGAUGGCNUGNGGNGCAUUAGNUAGUUGGNGGNNAANGGCCCACCAAGGAGANGAUGNGUAGCCGACNUGAGAGGGUGAUCGGCCACACUGGGANUGAGACACGGCCCAGACUCNUACGGGAGGCAGCAGUAGGGAAUNUUCCGCAAUGGGNGCAAGCCUGACGGAGCAACGCCGCGUGAGUGAUGAAGGUUUUCGGAUCGUAAAGCUCUGUUGCCAAGGAAAGAACGCCUCGGAGAGUAACUGCUCUGAGGGUGACGGUACUUGAGAAGAAAGCCCCGGCUAACUACGUGCCAGCAGCCGCGGUAAUACGUAGGGGGCAAGCGUUGUCCGGAAUUAUUGGGCGUAAAGCGCGCGCAGGCGGUCUUUUAAGUUUGGUGUUUAAGCCCGGGGCUCAACCCCGGUUCGCACUGNAAACUGGGACACUUGAUGCACGAU